rnacentral:rRNA from 1 species
UGAGGAAUAUUGGUCAAUGGGCGCAAGCUUGAACCAGCCAUCCCGCGUGCAAGAAGACGGCCCUAUGGGUUGUAAACUGCUUUUCCAGGGGGAGAAACUUGCGCACGUGUUGCGCAAUUGACGGUACCCUGGGAAUAAGCAUCGGCUAACUCCGUGCCAGCAGCCGCGGUAAUACGGAGGAUGCGAGCGUUAUCCGGAGUCAUUGGGUUUAAAGGGUGCGUAGGCGGACUAUUAAGUCAGUGGUGAAAUCCUGCAGCUUAACUGCAGAACUGCCAUUGAUACUGAUAGCCUUGAGUUUGGUUAAGGUAGGCGGAAUGUGUAAUGUAGCGGUGAAAUGCUUAGAUAUUACACAGAACACCAAUUGCGUAGGCAGCUUACUGAGCCGACACUGACGCUGAGGCACGAAAGCGUGGGGAUCGAACA